GGGAGCCAGAGGUGGGAGCCAGAGAUGGGAGCCACGGCUGGGACCCACGGCUGGGACAACCCCAUAGAUGGGACCCAUAGAUGGGACCCACAGCUGGGACCCACAGCUGGGACAACCCCAUAGAUGGGACCCAUAGAUGGGAGCCACAGCUGGGAGCCACAGCUGGGAGCCAUAGCGCUGGGACCCAUAGCUGGGACCCAUAGAUGGGACCCAUAGAUGGGACCCACCCCAUAGAUGGGACCCACGGCUGGGACCCAGAGAUGGGACCCAUAGAUGGGACCCACAGCUGGGACCCACAGCUGGGACCCAGAGCUGGGACAACCCCAUAGAUGGGACCCAUAGAUGGGAGCCAUGGCUGGGACCCACAGCUGGGACCCAUAGCUGGGACCCAUAGCUGGGACCCACGGCGGGGACCCAUAGAAGGGACCCAUAGUUGGGACCCAUGCCUGGCACCCAGAGCUGGGACAACCCCAUAGAUGGGAGCCAUGGCUGGGACCCACAGCUGGGACCCAUAGCGCUGGGACCCAUAGCUGGGACCCAUAGCUGGGACCCACAGCUGGGACCCAUAGACGGGACCCAUAGAUGGGAGCCACAGCUGGGACCCAUAGAUGGGGCCCACAGCUGGGACCCACAGCUGGGACCCAUAGCUGGGACCCAUAGAUGGGACCCAUAACUGAGCCCGCCCCACAGCUGGGACCCACAGCUGGGACCCAGAGCUGGGACCCAGAGCUGGGACCCAUAGCAUUGUGCCUCAUAGCUGGGACAUAACAGAGCCCCCCAGCACCCACCCCAUAACAGAGCGCACCCCAUAACAACACCCACCCCACACCAGUUCCCACCCCAUAACAGCACCCACCCCAUAUC
rnacentral:lncRNA from 1 species